rfam:Soil-borne cereal mosaic virus RNA1 complete genome
AGCCUAUUAGUACGGGUUGAGUACAA